rnacentral:rRNA from 1 species
GAUGAACGCUGGCGGCGUGCCUAAUACAUGCAAGUCGAGCGAACGGACGAGAAGCUUGCUUCUCUGAUGUUAGCGGCGGACGGGUGAGUAACACGUGGAUAACCUACCUAUAAGACUGGGAUAACUUCGGGAAACCGGAGCUAAUACCGGAUGAUAUUUUGAACCGCAUGGUUCAAAAGUGAAAGGCGGUCUUGCUGUCACUUAUAGAUGGAUCCGCGCUGCAUUAGCUAGUUGGUAAGGUAACGGCUUACCAAGGCAACGAUGCAUAGCCGGCCUGAGAGGGGGGUCGGCCACAAGGGACAUGGAAAACGGGCCGAACCCCAAGGGGAGGCAGAAUGGGGGAACUUUCGGAAAGGGGGAAAAGCCUGAGGGGGAAACGCCGGGGGGGUGAGAAAGGUUUUCGGAUCGUAAACCUCUUUUUUUAGGGAAGAACAAUGUUGAAGUUAACGGUGACCAUUUGGCGGGACCCUAACAAAAAAGCCACGGCUAACUGCGG